rnacentral:rRNA from 1 species
UGCACCACUCCUACGGGAGGCAGCAGUCGAGAAUCUUCGGCAAUGGGCGCAAGCCUGACCGAGCGACGCCGCGUGCGGGAUGAAGGCCUUCGGGUUGUAAACCGCUGUCGUAGGGGAGGAAGGCUCCGUGCAGAACGGAGUUUGACCGAUCCUAGGAGGAAGCGCCGGCUAAUCUCGUGCCAGCAGCCGCGGUAAUACGAGAGGCGCAAACGUUAUUCGGAAUUACUGGGCUUAAAGAGUUCGUAGGCGGCGCAGAAAGUAGGGUGUGAAAGCCCUCGGCUCAACCGAGGAAUUGCGCUCUAAACUACUGUGCUUGAGGAACCUAGAGGUGAGCAGAACAGAUGGUGGAGCGGUGAAAUGCGUUGAUAUCAUCUGGAAUACCGGAGGCGAAGGCGGCUCACUGGGGGUUUUCUGACGCUGAGGAACGAAAGCCAA